rnacentral:rRNA from 1 species
CCUACGGGGGGCAGCAGUGGGGAAUAUUGGACAAUGGGGGGAACCCUGAUCCAGCCAUGCCGCGUGUGUGAAGAAGGCCCUCGGGUUGUAAAGCACUUUCAGUGAGGAAGAACGCCUGGUGGUUAAUACCCAUCAGGAAAGACAUCACUCACAGAAGAAGCACCGGCUAACUCCGUGCCAGCAGCCGCGGUAAUACGGAGGGUGCGAGCGGUAAUCGGAAUUACUGGGCGUAAAGCGCGCGUAGGUGGCUUGAUAAGCCGGUUGUGAAAGCCCCGGGCUCAACCUGGGAACGGCAUCCGGAACUGUCAAGCUAGAGUGCAGGAGAGGAAGGUAGAAUUCCCGGUGUAGCGGUGAAAUGCGUAGAGAUCGGGAGGAAUACCAGUGGCGAAGGCGGCCUUCUGGACUGACACUGACACUGAGGUGCGAAAGCGUGGGUAGCAAACAGGAUUAGAUACCCGUGUAGUC